ACGUAUACCAAUUUCGUCGAUCAGACAGCUCGGGAUUCGUGAUUGGAAUAUCUAAUCGCCGAGGUAAUCCUCUUUUUUCAAGUCAGUAUCGAGAUAAAAAUAACAGCGGUAAAUUCGUGUGAUAAUCUCGACGCUUUAACUACAGGGUGAUGGGUGAGACACUGAAAUAAAUCCAAG